rnacentral:rRNA from 1 species
UACGGGGGGAGCAAGCGUUGUUCGGAUUUACUGGGCGUAAAGGGCGCGUAGGCGGCGCGACAAGUCACUUGUGAAAUCUCCGGGCUUAACUCGGAGCGGCCAAGUGAUACUGUCGUGCUGGAGUGCGGAAGGGGCAACUGGAAUUCUCGGUGUAGCGGUGAAAUGCGUAGAUAUCGAGAGGAACACCUGCGGCGAAGGCGGGUUGCUGGGCCGACACUGACGCUGAAGCGCGAAAGCCAGGGGAGCGAACGGG